GACGAACGCUGGCGGCGUGCUUAACACAUGCAAGUCGAACGGAAAGGCCCUGCUUUUGUGGGGUGCUCGAGUUGCGAACGGGUGAGUAACACGUGAGUUACCUGCCCUUGACUUUGGGAUAACUUCAGGAAACUGGGGCUAAUACCGGAUAGGAGCUCCUGCUGCAUGGUGGGGGUUGGAAAGUUUCGGCGGUUGGGGAUGGACUCGCGGCUUAUCAGCUUGUUGGUGGGGUAGUGGCUUACCAAGGCUUUGACGGGUAGCCGGCCUGAGAGGGUGACCGGACACAUCGGGACGGAGAUAAGGCCCAGACUCCUACGGGAGGCAGCAGUGGGGAAUAUUGCACAAUGGGCGGAAGCAUGAUGCAGCAAAGCCGCGUGCGGGAUGACGGGCUUCGGGUUGGAAACCGCUUUCGCCUGUGACGAAGCGUGAGUGACGGUAAUGGGUAAAGAAGCACCGGCUAACUACGUG
rnacentral:rRNA from 1 species